UUUCCUCAUUCCACAAUCCUAAGAAGUAUAAUUAGGAAAGGAAAGAAGCAACAAUGGCAAUGGCGGGUCUUUACAGAAGAGUUCUUCCCUCUCCUCCAGCUACUGAGUUCGCUUCUCCUCAAGGCAAGCAACUCUUCACGGAAGCUCUUCAAGGAGGGACCAUGGAAGGUUUCUUUAAGCUUAUAUCUUAUUACCAAACUCAGUCAGAGCCCGCCUAUUGCGGACUUGCCACUCUUGCUGUUGUCUUGAAUGCCCUCGCCAUUGAUCCUGGAAGAACCUGGAAAGGGCCUUGGAGAUGGUUUGAUGAUACAAUGUUAGAUUGUUGUGAAAACUUAAGUAAGAUUAAAUCCCAGGGGAUUACAUUUGGUAAAGUUGCCUGCUUGGCUUAUUGUAAUGGAGCGAAUGUUGAAGCCUUUAGAACAAAUGAAACCUCCAUUGAUGAGUUUCGUAGAGUUGUUAUUUCCUCAGCUUCUUCAGAGGAUUGCCAUGUCAUCACCUCGUACCACAGAGGAACUUUUAAGCAGACGGGAAGCGGUCAUUUUUCUCCAAUUGGGGGAUAUCAUGCUGGAAAAGAUAUGGUUCUUAUUCUGGAUGUUGCUCGAUUCAAAUAUCCUCCCCAUUGGGUUCCUCUUACACUUCUUUGGGAGGCCAUGGAUACCAUUGAUAAAGCCACAGGACAUCAAAGAGGAUUCAUGAUUGUGUCAAGGCAACAGAAAGCACCAUCCAUUCUCUAUAUUUUGAAUUGCAGAAAUGAGGGUUGGAUCAAGGUUGCAAAGUACCUAACGGAAGAUAUUCCCCUCCGAUUGAAAUUUGAAGAUUUAAAAGAUGUGGACAAUUUACUCUCUGUUGUAUUUAAGUCAGCACCUGCUGAUCUAAAAGAAUUUAUCAAGUGGGUGGGAGAAGUUCAGAUACAAGAGGACGGGUGUAUAACCUUAAGUGAAGAGGAGACAGGGAGGCUGGUUAUUAAGGAAGAGGUACUGAAACAAAUAAAAGAGACUGAAUUAUUCAAGCAUGUGACCAAAUGGUUGGCUUCUGAAAUUUCAUUAUGUAAAGUUGUCGCAUCUUGGGAUUAUAAGGAAACCUUUCCUGAAAUAGCAGCUAAUAUUUGUUGCCAAGGAGCAGAACUUUUAACUGGAAAGCUUAGUUUGUCAGAUGGAACAUGCUGUAAUGAAACAAAUGUUGCAUUUCUAAAAUCUGGUGAUGACAAGCCUAUGACAGUGGUUUCAGGGACUGUAACUACAGAUGGCAUUGAACAUAAAAUUGAAACGCUGGUUCCUUUAUCUCGGAUAGAUCCGAGUAAUUUGUGUGAUUUUGGUCAGAGUAAUUGCAAAGGAAUGCAUCCAUCUACUGGCGAUGUUUUGACAAUACUUUUAUUGGCCCUGCCUCAACAAACAUGGUCUGGCAUUAAAGAAGAGAAGCUACGCAUGCAAUUUAGUUGUCUUGUAUCAAUUGACAAAGUUCCCUCUCUGCUUCAACGAGAGGUACUGCAUCUGCAAAGGCAGCUGCAUUUCCUCAUGAUUGAUCUCAGUGCCUCAUCUCCCUGUGGUUAGUUUCUUAUUUAUGAAGAGCAUACUACCAAUUGUAGGUAUUGAUUGGGUGAUAGAAUUCAGCGUAAGUUGAAAAUAAACACAAGACACUCAAGUAUUUGACUUGAGAGAUUCAGUACAAGCUGAAUGUAGAUACAAGACGCUCAAGUAUAUGGUUCGACGCCAGGAUAAUAAUUACUUGAGGAAGUCUAGUAUAAUUUCAGUGGAAUAAAAUUUUGUACAGCAUUGUUGACACUUGAGAGUAUAUUACAUUGAAAAACGUCAAGGUCGGAAUUAAGAGCUAGGCAUGUCUUCCAGGACUCCUGAGGAAGGAGGCAGUCUUAGAGAUCUCUUUUGAUGGCUUGUCCGUG